rnacentral:tRNA from 1 species
ACCUGUGUGGCUCAGUGGCAGAGCGUCUGUUUAGUAAACAGAACGUCGCUGGUUCGAUUCCAGCAUGAGGCA